ACACUUCUUACAGAUGGCUGCCCUCUGGAAUGAAAAUGCACACCAACCACCGGCAAACAUCAAAAGCUAAUCCAACAUUUGGUCUUCGGAAACCCUGCGACUAAUGCAAUGUUGGUGCCCUAGAAGACAAGUCAGCGCAGUUCAGACGAGCCAGCCAGAGGAGGUCACCGCCAGCCUUGUAUCGAGGUUCCAACGUCCUUCAUCGGGGAACUCGGCAUGGAUAUGCAAGACAACACUCGAAUCACUGUUGGACAAAUGCCUGAAACGGCUGGAAAAAUAGAAAAGAUGGUUACAGAGACUGUUAUUGCUGUUCUUUUAAUACAAUAUUUGCCUUCCAUAAAAUAUUCCCAUGUUCCAAUUUAAUAUUCUUGAUGCUGUUGUAAAUAAAUUUGCACACUGUCU